GAUGAACGCUAGCUACAGGCUUAACACAUGCAAGUCGAGGGGUAGCAGGGUAGCAAUACCGCUGACGACCGGCGCACGGGUGAGUAACACGUAUCCAACCUUCCCAUAACUCAGGAAUAGCCUUUCGAAAGAAAGAUUAAUACCUGAUAGUACUUUUUUAAGGCAUCUUGAAAAAGUUAAAGAUUUAUCGGUUAUGGAUGGGGAUGCGUUCCAUUAGAUAGUUGGUGAGGUAACGGCUCACCAAGUCUUCGAUGGAUAGGGGUUCUGAGAGGAAGGUCCCCCACAUUGGUACUGAGACACGGACCAAACACCUACGGGAGGCAGCAGUGAGGAAUAUUGGUCAAUGGGCGAGAGCCUGAACCAGCCAAGUAGCGUGAAGGAUGAAGGUCCUAUGGAUUGUAAACUUCUUUUAUAGUAGAAUAAAGUGAGCCACGUGUGGUUUUUUGUAUGUAUACUAUGAAUAAGGAUCGGCUAACUCCGUGCCAGCCGCCGCGGUAA
rnacentral:rRNA from 1 species